rnacentral:lncRNA from 1 species
UACAACUAAAAAAAAUAUUUAAAAAAAAGAUUUUUGAGCGAAUUUCACUAAAUUGCCCAAGCCAACCUCAAACUUGUGCUCUCCUGCUUCAGUCUGCCAAGUUGCUGGGAUUACAGGUAUUUGCUACCAGGUGACUCAACUCUUUAUUGGUACUGGGAGUUGUACCUGGGGCCCUCAAUCACUGAGCCACAUCCCUGCCCUUUUUUAUUUUUUGAGACAGGAUCUUGCGAAGUUGCAUAGUCCUCACUGAGUUGCUAAGGCUGGCCUUGAACUUGUGAUCCUCCUGCCUCAGCCUCCCAAACUGCUGGGAUUACAGGUGUACCCAGAAAUUCUGUACCUAUUUUGCCUGUUUUAUAGGAUGAAGCACAUGAGUAAGUAUGGAUGUUGUUGAGAACCAGAGACCUCAGCUGGAGAGAAGGGAGACACAAAAAUUUCUUGUGAUUGAAUUGGAAAAAAUAUCAGUACAAAACCCGUGGAUAGACAGAUACCUAGGACUCAGAUCUUGCUUUCUAAAUACCAUUAUCCCCUAAGAGCACCUGCAGCUCUUUGAAGAAAGGCUGAUUCUAGCCAGGACAAGAGCAAGGAAGGAAUGAGAUGAAUUUGGAAUAUUUUGUUGUCAGAAACAAAGUACGUAGGCUGGGGGGUUAGCUUCGUGGUAGAGCACUUACUGUGCACAUCUGUGAGGUCCUGGGUUUAAUCCCAGCACUAGAAAGAAAGAGAGAGGGAAAGGGAGGGAAAAACUUAAAUUAUAUGACAAAGAAACACAAGGGCUAACUUGAAAAAGUAUCCCACCAGUCAAAUCUGGGACAAUUUAAGCUGCAAAAUAAAUAAGAACAGAAAUAGGUGAUACCAGUAACUGUAUAAAACCAUAUCAUCUGAUGCUGGAGGCAAAGAGUAUUAGCACCCAGGUAAAGCUCUGAUUGAGGGAUUCUACCUCAAGGAUGGGAAAGACAAUGGAGAAACAGAGGGGAGAGAGAGAGAUCGGCUGCUCCCCAAACAUGGAGAAGAAAGCCUUUUAUCAGCCUGUUAUUGGAGUGGCCUGGGGUCUGGUUGCGCAUUACCUCAUUCUGGUUUUGCCAGAUGUCUCUGGAGAAAUCCUUAUCACUGAGGGGUAACCUCCAUUUGUUUUGCAGAGUGUUUAUCAGUGGGUCCUGACAAAAAAGGGGACAGGCAACUUGGUUCCCAUGAGGUGAUGGUUUCCACCUUGGGGAGCAGUCACCACCAUCUGCCUGCAAGGCUGCACUGUUGCUCAAAGUGUGGGGCAUGACCGGAGGAUUCUAGGUGCCAUUCCAGAGUCUGGGAAAUUGUAAAAGCUGGCAGUUGGGUAUCCUGCAAAUCCUGAAAAUCCAUUAAUCACUCUUUUUUGUUGUUGUUCCGGGGAUUGAACCCAGGGGUUUUACCACUGAGCCCCAUCCCCAGCCCUUUUUAUUUUUUAUUUUGAGACAGGGCCUCCCUAAGUUAGUAAGGCUGGCAUCAACCUUGUGAUCCUCCUACUUCAGCCUCCCAAGUCGCUGGGAUUCCAGGGGUGCAGUAUCAUGCACAGCUGCAGUAGUUUCCCUAUCUCUGAUUCUUCAGCCUUGAAUCGGGUGGUUGUCAGCUUUACAUGAACUUCCCUCAAAUGACUAAUAUGCCCGUGUGCACAGCAGAGUAGGUAUCAAACACAAAGCUUAGAAUAAUAAAGAAGCCGAGUGCGGUGGUACACGUCUGUAAUCCCAGUGACUCAGGAGGCUGAGGCAGGAGGAUUGCAAGUCCAAAGCCAGCCUCAGCAACUUAUUGAGGCCCCAAGCAAUUUGGUGAGACCCUGUCUCAAAAUAAAAUAUAAAGAAGGGCUGGGGAUGUGGCUCAGUGGUUAAGUUUGAUCCCUGAUACUAAAUAAAUAAAGUAAUAAAGGGGACAGACGGAUAAGAAUAAGGCAGAGAUGCCAAGCUUUUAUCCUACUUUCAGUAACCCAUCAAGCAUCUAUAAAAUAAGAGAAGAGUGAGCUUCUUAGCGAAAGAAACCUCUGUAAGUCCUUGUUAUAGUCUAGUUUUUGUGGUACUUUUUUAAAAACACAUUUUUAUGUCUUUAUUUAUUUUUAUGUGGCACUGAGGAUUGAACCUAGUGCUUCACGCGUCCUAGGCAAGCACUCCACCAGUGAGCCACAACCCCAGCCCUGUGGUGCUUUCAAUUAGUAGAUCAUGAGUUUAGGACUUGGGAGGGCAUCUGCCCUUUGACCCUGUAGUAGUCUCUAAUCAUCUCACGUUUCUGUUGUUAACAGGUGUUAACAUCCACGAGGAAUACAUAAAAAGAAAACCAAGCCUAGGGUCAUAGCUCAGUGGUGGAGUACUUGCUUUGGAUUUAUGAGGCACUGGGUUCAAUCCUCAACACCACAUUAAAAUAAAGGUAUUUGCAGGGCAUGAUGAAGCAUGCCUUUAAUCCCAGGGGCUUGGGAGGCUGAGGCAGGAGGAUCACAAGUUCAAAGCCAGCCUCAACAAAAGCAAGGCACUAAGCAACUCAGUGAGACCCUGUCUCUAAAUAAAAUACAAAAAUAGGGCUGGGGAAGUGGUUCAGUGGUUGAUUGCCCCUGAGUUUAAUCCCCUGUACCCCCCCACAAAAAUAUAUAUGUUCAUCUAUAACUAAGAAUACUUAACAAAACAAAACAUUAUUCUAGUGAAUCUACCAAUCAGAUAAUGGAGAUAAGUCAGCCAGCCUGAAGAUCCUGAGAACUGUUGGACCACCAUCUUCUCUUUUGGUCCCAGACUGAUGUCAUCCCCACAUACCUUCCCAUGCCUGCCCUCACCAAAUUUCCUUUAGUAGCUGGGCUUGGUGGCACACCAGGCAACUCCAGAGGCUGAGGCAGGAGGAUUGCAAGUUCAAAGCCAGCCCCAGUUUAGCAGGUCCUAAGCAACUUAGUGAAACAUUUCAAAAUAAAAGAGUGGCUCAGUGGUAGAGCACCCCUGGGUUCAAUCCCCAAUAAUAAAUAAAAAUUAAUCAUGCAGGAGCUCACUGGUCUUUAGAAUUCUUCCCUUUUCUUUUUUCUUAUGCUGCAGUUGUGGAAUUAGCUAUAGUAGAUUCUCAGUUCUCU